GGAUCAACUAACUGGUCGUGCCUAUGGUACGUACUGGUUAUGUUGGUUUCUCCCUCUGACUAGCCGCGAUGUCAUUAACUUGGUGUCGUGGGGAAUCAGACUGUUACUUUGAAAAAAUUAGAGUGUUUAAAGCAGGCGUACGCUUGAAUACAUUAGCAUGGAAUAAUGGAAUAGGGCUGCUGCCCCAUUUUGUUGGUUUCUGGGACCGUAGCA
rnacentral:rRNA from 1 species